UACGGGGGGAGCAAGCGUUGUUCGGAUUUACUGGGCGUAAAGGGCGCGUAGGCGGCCAGCACAAGUCAGUUGUGAAAUCUCCGAGCUUAACUCGGAACGGUCAACUGAUACUGUGCGGCUAGAGUGCGGAAGGGGCAACUGGAAUUCUUGGUGUAGCGGUGAAAUGCGUAGAUACCAGGAGGAACACCGGUGGCGAAGGCGGAUCUCUGGGCCUUACCUGACGCUGAGGCGCGAAAGCUAGGGGAGCGAACGAGG
rnacentral:rRNA from 1 species